GAGAGAGAAAGAGAGAGGCUGAGGACUCAAGUGCUCUCUCUCUCUUUCUCUCUUUUCUC
rnacentral:miRNA from 1 species